UCCCUGGAGGACCAGUGGUUAGGCAGCAGCACUCUCACUGCUGUGGCCCGGGUUCAAUUCCUGGCCAGGGAC
rnacentral:tRNA from 1 species